AGCAGCCGCGGUAAUUCCAGCUCCAAUAGCGUAUACUAAAGUUGUUGCAGUUAAAAAGCUCGUAGUUGAAUUUCGAGAUCGGCUUACUGGUCGUGCUUUUGUACGUACUGGUAUAAUCGGUUUCUCCUUUCUGACGAACUUUAAUGCCAUUAAUUUGGUGUUUUAGGGAAUCAGGACUGUUACUUUGAAAAAAUUAGAGUGUUUAAAGCAGGCUCACGCUUGAAUACAUUAGCAUGGAAUAACGGAAUAGGACGUUUGAUUCUAUUUUGUUGGUUUCUAGGAUCGACGUAAUGAUUAAUAGGGAUAGUUGGGGGCAUUAGUAUUCAAUUGUCAGAGGUGAAAUUCUUGGAUUUAUUGAAGACUAACUACUGCGAAAGCAUUUGCCAAGGAUGUUUUCAUUAAUCAAGAACGAAAGUUAGGGGAUCGAAGACGAUCAGAUACCGUCGUAGUCUUAACCAUAAACUAUGCCGACUAGGGAUCGGAUGAUGUUAAUUUUUAAUGACUCAUUCGCG
rnacentral:rRNA from 1 species